rnacentral:rRNA from 1 species
UACGGAGGGUGCAAGCGUUAUCCGGAUUCACUGGGUUUAAAGGGAGCGUAGGCGGGCGUGUAAGUCAGUGGUGAAAGCCCUCAGCUUAACUGAGGAACUGCCAUUGAUACUAUAUGUCUUGAAUGUCGUUGAGGUUUGCGGAAUGGGUCAUGUAGCGGUGAAAUGCUUAGAUAUGACCCGGAACACCUAUUGCGAAGGCAGCAGGCUAAACGAAUAUUGACGCUGAGGCUCGAAAGCGUGGGGAGCAAACAGG